rnacentral:rRNA from 1 species
AAAAAAGGUAAGCUACUAAGAGCGAAUGGUGGAUGCCUUGACUGGUAAAGGCGAUGAAGGACGUACUAGACUGCGAUAAGCUACGGGGAGCUGUCAAGAAGCUUUGAUCCGUAGAUUUCCGAAUGGGGCAACCCAAUGUAUAGAGAUAUACAUUACCUAUAUAGGAGCGAACGAGGGGAAUUGAAACAUCUUAGUACCCUCAGGAAAAGAAAUCAAUAGAGAUUGCGUCAGUAGCGGCGAGCGAAAGCGCAAGAGGGCAAACCCAGUGCUUGCACUGGGGGUUGUAGGACUGCAAUGUGCAAGAGCUGAGUUUAGCAGAACAUUCUGGAAAGUAUAGCCAUAGAGGGUGAUAGUCCCGUAUGCGAAAAACAAAGCUUAGCUAGCAGUAUCCUGAGUAGGGCGGGACACGAGGAAUCCUGUCUGAAUCCGGGUCGACCACGAUCCAACCCUAAAUACUAAUACCAGAUCGAUAGUGCACAAGUACCGUGAGGGAAAGGUGAAAAGAACUGAGGUGAUCAGAGUGAAAUAGAACCUGAAACCAUUUGCUUACAAUCAUUCAGAGCACUAUGUAGCAAUACAGUGUGAUGGACUGCCUUUUGCAUAAUGAGCCUGCGAGUUGUGGUGUCUGGCAAGGUUAAGCAAACGCGAAGCCGUAGCGAAAGCGAGUCUGAAUAGGGCGCUUAGUCAGAUGCUGCAGACCCGAAACGAAGUGAUCUAUCCAUGAGCAAGUUGAAGCUAGUGUAAGAACUAGUGGAGGACUGAACCCAUAGGCGUUGAAAAGCCCCAGGAUGACUUGUGGAUAGGGGUGAAAGGCCAAUCAAACUUCGUGAUAGCUGGUUCUCUCCGAAAUAUAUUUAGGUAUAGCGUUGUGUCGUAAUAUAAGGGGGUAGAGCACUGAAUGGGCUAGGGCAUACACCAAUGUACCAAACCCUAUCAAACUCCGAAUACCUUAUAUGUAAUCACAGCAGUCAGGCGGCGAGUGAUAAAAUCCGUCGUCAAGAGGGAAACAACCCAGACUACCAGCUAAGGUCCCUAAAUCUUACUUAAGUGGAAAACGAUGUGAAGUUACUUAAACAACCAGGAGGUUGGCUUAGAAGCAGCCAUCCUUUAAAGAAAGCGUAAUAGCUCACUGGUCUAGUGAUUUUGCGCGGAAAAUAUAACGGGGCUAAAGUAAGUACCGAAGCUGUAGACUUGCACACAACUUAGAUUAUUUAAGUUUAGAAUAAGUAGUUUAAGUUGUGUGCAAGUGGUAGGAGAGCGUUCUAUUUGCGUCGAAGGUAUACCGGUAAGGAGUGCUGGAGCGAAUAGAAGUGAGCAUGCAGGCAUGAGUAGCGAUAAUUAAUGUGAGAAUCAUUAACGCCGUAAACCCAAGGUUUCCUACGCGAUGCUCGUCAUCGUAGGGUUAGUCGGGUCCUAAGUCGAGUCCGAAAGGGGUAGACGAUGGCAAAUUGGUUAAUAUUCCAAUACCAACAUUAGUGUGCGAUGGAAGGACGCUUAGGGCUAAGGGGGCUAGCGGAUGGAAGUGCUAGUCUAAGGUCGUAGGAGGUUAUACAGGCAAAUCCGUAUAACAAUACUCCGAGAACUGAAAGGCUU